CUGGGGAGAUUUAAACUAAGAUUCUAAAAUACCAAAUAGGUGUGAUGAAGACACCUAGAAAGACCUCAGUAAGACAGUCCUACUUUCCUUUCAUGAACUCGCGUGUGCUACCAUUUGAAUAUGAAAUGUCUUACACAGGCUGGUGUGCUUAAACACUUGGUCUCUGGCUGGUGACACUGUUUUGGAAGGUUGUGCCACCUUUAUGCACCAUGGCCUGACUAGCAGAGAUGGUGGACUGUGAAACUCUUGACUUAGUUCUCUGUGCUUCAUGUCAUCCACGAUAGUGGGGUCAGAUGCUCAUUCUACAAUAAGCGGAGGACAACAGCUACCGAGCUUCUUGCCCUGAAACUGUGAGCACUGAUAAACCAUCUUUCCCUAAAUAGAAGGACAUCCCACCCUGAGACUGUGAGCUGAAAUCUUCUUUCCAUGGUUCAGAGAUCAUCGCAGAAGAGGGCAUGGGAAUGUCAAGACCAGAGGUGGUGGAUGACUACAAGGAAACCAUUUUACAGAAAUAUCAUGGCACCUGCACAUAGGAAACCAUAGGUCGUGACAGCACGCACAAAACCUGUGCAAGCUCAAGCAAGAGACUCUGCAGUAUGAAGGAAGGAGGCAUUUGACAAAGACCUAGCUGGAAUGACAUGGCCCCUUGAAGCCUCCAAGCUCACCCCUGAUGACACUCCUCCAACAAGGCCAUAUCUCCUAAUCCUUAACAGUCCACUAACUGCAGAACAAACAUUCAAAUAUAUGAGCCUACGGUGGACAACCUCAUUCAAGUCCCCUUCCCCUACUCACCUUGAUUGGAUAUAAAAUCAACUAAGAGACAUGGUGGAUCUGUGAGAGCAUCUGUAAUGAUUAACUGCAGGGUGGUGUGGCGUGGCCAACACCAUGAGAGGACCACCAAGGACAGCAGCUGUGAAGUGGAGCUAACACGAACCUAGAAGACAAGCUGUAUAUGCUUUGGAUGGCAGAUGUAUAUAUGUGUGUGUGUGUGUGUGUGUGUGUGUGUGUGUGUAAAAUUCUUCCCAGACCUUUUGGAGUCCAGAGGAACAUAAAUUCUUAAUACUUUUGAAUUUUGGUUUUGCUUUUAUUUGAUUUGACUUAACCACAGUUUUUCAACUUUGGAGAUAUUAAAUAAUUAAAUUAUUUAAUUUAAUUAAAUAAAUUAAGAUUAUUUGAUUUGUUUUUUAUUUUAUAGGGGCCCAUAAUUAUGAGAUCUUGGAUAUUUUAGGGACACUUUAAAAUUUUAGAGAGACUUUAAAUGUUUUAAAGAGACAGAAUUUUCAAAGUAUUUACAUUCUUAAGGGCUGUGGGACUUUAAAAAGUUGGAAUGUUUAUAUUAUGAUAUUAAUAUUAUUAAUGUUAAUAUAUUAUCAUGAGGAUAAGUGUGAAGAAAGGUUGUUGUAAAAUAGUAAUGUGUUUGUAUGUGAAGUUGACAAGGGGUAAGUUGUGCUGGGUAGUUUUAUGCUGACUUGACACAAUUAGAGUCAUUUGGCAGAGGGAACCUCAAUUGAGAAUAUAUCCCCAUCAGAUCAGUCUGUGGGGAAUUUUCUAGAUUAAUAAUUGAUGUGGAUAGGCCCAGAUCACCCAGCAGUGAAACCUCUGGCACUUAGUCUUGAGUGGCAAUAGAAAACAAUCUUACUAAGCCAUGAGGAGCAAGCCAGUAAGCAGCAUUCUUCCAUCAGUUCCUGACUCUAAAAUUCUACCCUCCCUCCCCUUCCCUCCUUCUUUUUCCUUUCUCCCUUUCUUUCACAGCUUCUUCCCUUCCUUUCUUUUAAUUCAUUUUUGUUAUUUAAGAUAGGGUCAUUCUACAUAGGCCCGGGUAGCCUUGGAUGCUUGAUCCUCCAUACGAGGGAAGAAGCACUACCUUGAAGACAUGAUAUGAGCUGUGCAUGGUCAUGCACACCUGUUAUCUUAGUCAGCGUUUCUAU